GUGAGAUAUGCCACCCUUGAACCUUGUCAAGACAUCAGCACAUUACCCAUCUGAUA
rnacentral:ncRNA from 1 species